UACGGAGGGGGCUAGCGUUGUUCGGAAUUACUGGGCGUAAAGCGUACGUAGGCGGCUUUGUAAGUUAGAGGUGAAAGCCCGGGGCUCAACCCCGGAAUUGCCUUUAAGACUGCAUCGCUUGAAUCGCGGAGAGGUGAGUGGAAUUCCGAGUGUAGAGGUGAAAUUCGUAGAUAUCAAGCGGAACACCGGUGGCGAAGGCGGCCUUCUGGACAGUGACUGACGCUGAGACGCGAAAGCGUGG
rnacentral:rRNA from 1 species